GGGCCAGGAUGGGACAGACGCCACCUCGUGGUGCGGCGCUCCACCUCCUCUUUACCGCGCAAAAGAAAGCCACUGACCCAGGAAAGGUGCCGUCCGGAGGCUGAGGCUUUGGCCAGAGGCUGAAAUGAACUGGCUAGAAAUGGAGUAGUGGGACCAUGAUCCUGUAGCCCCAGAAGAACUGACGUUUUGGGAAUGAGUUCUUCACCUACAGAAGACACUGGCUGACUAGAUGCAUUUGGCAUUCUGCAAAUGGCUGACUGACAGGAUAAAUACCGGCUGGAGUAGAAGGGACAGCUGCUGGUUCUCUGGCAACUUCACGCCAAGGCCACCCCUGGAGUUGGGUCUACACUACGUGGAGAAAAAUACUACAUUUUGAAACACUUUGGGCUUGGUGUGGUGAUUAGUCAAGAGAUUUUCAAAGCUCUUCAGUGGAAAGUUGAAUCUAAAAAUCUGUGAUUGACACUUGAGAGAACCCAGUUUGUUGUAAAGGACUUUCAUUGUGGUAAACUUCCUUGUGCUGCAGCGUCUCGAGCACAAUAUGACAGAUUUAUUUAAUGCCUUUCUCAAAAACUAGAGCAUUUAUUUACGUGCUUUGAAACUUCAUAAUAAAUUGGUCUUUACAUCCUUAA